ensembl:ncRNA C09B7.3 ncRNA
GCUUAUUGCUAUUUGCAAAUUUUAAUAUGAUUUCUUUUUGGAUCACACUGAUAUAUUGUUGUGAAAUAAAUUAAAAGAAUUAUUCUCGAUUGAAGAUAUUCACUUCUUUGGUUCACAAAAAUACAUAGUUUUACAAUACAUAUGCCAUUUGUGCUUGAGUUUUUGAGUUUAUUUCAAGAUAUUCAACCUGGUCUACCUCAAACACUGAUUUGGUAAAAAAAACAGUAUUUUAAAUACAUUAUCAGACUUUUGUAAAAUAAUAUGCAAGAAAAUUUUUUUGUUAAAUUUUUAAAGUGAUGAAAAACAGAGUUUAAAAAUGAGUAAAUUACAUUUACAACACUAAAACAAGAUAAAUAUUGGAUGAAAAAUCAAAAAAA